GUGUCAGCCGCCGCGGUAAUACGUAGGGGGCGAGCGUUGUCCGAAUUUACUGGGCGUAAAGCGCGCGUAGGCGGGCUAAUAAGUUGUGGGUGAAAUGCCGAGGCUCAACCUCGGCGCUGCCUGCAAGACUGUUGGUCUUGAGGUAUGGAGGGGAAAGUGGAAUUCCUGGUGUAGCGGUGAAAUGCGUAGAUAUCAGGAGGAACACCGAUGGCGAAGGCAGCUUUCUGGCCAUAUCCUGACGCUGAGGUGCGAAAGCUAGGGGAGCGAACGGGAUUAGAAACCCCGGUAGUCC
rnacentral:rRNA from 1 species